UACGAAGGGUGCAAACGUUGUUCGGAAUUACUGGGCGUAAAGCGCACGUAGGCGGAUCGAUCAGUCAGGGGUGAAAUCCCAGAGCUCAACUCUGGAACUGCCUUUGAUACUGUCGGUCUAGAGUAUGGAAGAGGUGAGUGGAAUUCCGAGUGUAGAGGUGAAAUUCGUAGAUAUUCGGAGGAACACCAGUGGCGAAGGCGGCUCACUGGUCCAUUACUGACGCUGAGGUGCGAAAGCGUGGGGAGCAAACAGG
rnacentral:rRNA from 1 species